rnacentral:misc_RNA from 1 species
ACGUAAACAGCAGAAUGGCGCGGGGCCCCGGCGGGAUCGUAACCAAUCCGAAUUUGGCGGCGAGACAGAGAGCGAACAGAAGAAUCGGAACGCCGAUGAGAAUCACCGCACCGAAAAUCUGAUUGGGCUUUGGCUUCGGAAUAAUCGGUCCGCCGGUAACAGCAGUCGCGGUAUUCAUCGCACCGCUCCCGCGACUGAAACAUCAUGCGCAA